ACCCGCUGAACUUAAGCAUAUCAAUAAGCGGAGGAAAAGAAACCAACAGGGAUUGCCCUAGUAACGGCGAGUGAAGCGGCAACAGCUCAAAUUUGAAAUCUGGCGUCUUUGGCGUCCGAGUUGUAAUUUGCAGAGGGCGCUUUGGCAUUGGCAGCGGUCCAAGUUCCUUGGAACAGGACGUCACAGAGGGUGAGAAUCCCGUACGUGGUCGCUAGCCUUUACCGUGUAAAGCCCCUUCGACGAGUCGAGUUGUUUGGGAAUGCAGCUCUAAAUGGGAGGUAAAUUUCUUCUAAAGCUAAAUACUGGCCAGAGACCGAUAGCGCACAAGUAGAGUAAUCGAAAGAUGAAAAGCACUUUGGAAAGAGAGUUAAAAAGCACGUGAAAUUGUUGAAAGGGAAGCGCUUGCAGCCAGACUUGCCUGUAGUUGCUCAUCCGGGUUUUUACCCGGUGCACUCUUCUAUAGGCAGGCCAGCAUCAGUUUGGGCGGUUGGAUAAAGGUCUCUGUCAUGUACCUCUCUUCGGGGAGAACUUAUAGGGGAGACGACAUGCAACCAGCCCGGACUGAGGUCCGCGCAUCUGCUAGGAUGCUGGCGUAAUGGCUGU
rnacentral:rRNA from 1 species